rnacentral:tRNA from 16 species
UGGGGUAUCGCCAAGUGGUAAGGCACUGGGUUUUGAUCUCAGCAUUCCAAGGUUCGAAUCCUUGUACCCCAGCCA